GAUGAAGGCUGCUUCCUGAGAAGGAAUGUUUUACAGCCAUCAGAUACUUAUCAACAGCUGGGCCACCGUGCUAGAUAAAACUUCUUUAAGGCACCUGAGAGAGAGAGGGAAAGAACACCUCCAGAGAGCAGCCUGCUGAUAGAACCUACUUCUAACAAUAUGUGAGAGAGCAGCAAGUUAUCAGACAUAGGGACAGAAGGGGAAGAUGAAGAUAGCCUUCUUGUUCCAUAAGAAGUGGGAGGUGAAGCGGCAAAGAAGACAGGAAGGCUGAUUCGGGAAGAUAACACAGCAGUUUACAACAUGGAGGACAAGAAAUCCUUGAAGAUUAAAAGCAUGAAAGAGCACAGGGAAACACAGGAAAGCUUGUCUCUGCAGUCAUGCGACGAUGAGGACAUGAAGAUGUAUAACUGUCCCAGGUGUGAGAACAGCACAGUUUACCCCCUCAGGACUUGUAACAGGCUUGCCUGAAGGAAACUGAAAUAGGAGUUGAAACGUGCAUUCAAGGUGUGUCAAGAUAAGAAGCCUACAGAACUGUUACAGAAUGGUAUAAUGAAAACCUCUGGGAACACCUCAGUCUGUCAAAGACGCAUCAGUCUUAGCCCAAGGAUGAAAUUUUGUGAAUCUUCCUUACCUGGUUUGUGAAGCUCUUCACCAUCUUUCUGGCAAGUAGUCUCUCUAAUCAUAUUUACCCUAGUUGAAUUCCAGUUUGGACACUCCAUGUCCAAGCCUGUUUCCCAUGAAUCUUUAUUCUGUGCACUGAUGUCUCACUUUUCAGACAAAAACAGCGUGUUCUCUCGAUCAUCAACAGCUCGGAUAGAGCUCUACAUACUCAAUCCAUUUAGAACAGCUCUAUAUUUUGUAGCUUAUUAGAAUUGUGUGGGAGAAUCGGAAGGGUCACGUUUCCCUCUGGAACAGAAUGAAUGUGGUAUAGCUCAAAGUGAUGCCAAGUACAAAAUCAUAUUUCCCUCCUACUUAGGAAACCUUAGCCUCAGAACUUUAUGUUAGAUGAGCAGAUGCAUUACAUGGGAUGCUUUCCAGAUUCUUUUUCAGAGGUCUGAGUCACUCAGUGUUUGCCAUGCAAUGUCCUUUACUCUGUAACCAUGUCCCUAGAUCACUGAAUAAGCACUAGGGAAACAUGCUGAACAAAUUAGUAGACUGAAUAGCUAAUUUUUAGUAAAGAUCAUCAUUCAAGUGUUUCAAUGGUUUUGUUAAGUGAAAGAUUAAAAGUGGUAUACUUAAAACAAAGGCUUGACAAUGCUCCCUCUUACUUAGGUGGUGCAAGGAAACUUCUUAACAAGCUUUUCCAGCCUUAAUGCCUUACAUAUAGCUACCAAUGGACACUUGAAAUAUUCAUGUUGCACAUUAGAUGCAUUAAGUUUGAGGAUUGCAGCUCUUUUUUUCAGGAGUUUAAUUUGUAUGUUGUAUAUUUCUUGUUUAGAUGGGCAAAGGACUUUUUUUCUCAAGUUCCUUGGCACAGACAUUUCUCCUAAAUGUUUCCUGGUUGAAAACUCUUUCUCAAUUUGAUCACUGAAAGACUGUUAUUAGUUCUU